UCUUUAAAACGAAAGGCUUUUAACCCUUCUUCUUUAGCUAACAAGAACCUCAUUCUUUUCUUUAACAUUCCCAAAACCUUUACUAGAUUUCUAACUUCUUUAGCUUACUUCCCCUAGAAUUCUUUCCCUUUCCUCAUCAACAAUGAAUUCCCUCUUUUAUUUUAAACACAUCCCAACCCAUGAUAUAAGCGCCGACCUAGUCCUAUCCAGUCCGAAGAACGCGAACUAGAACUACAUGAGACACUAUCUCUGUCGUUACGAACCUAACACUUUCUACCAAGCUCAAUCGAAAUAAGACCUCACAAACACUCACAAGUGAUAUAGGGCUUGCAAGAAAGUUCAGGUUUGGGUAUGGGUUAACUGCUCUUAUAAGGAGAGUCAGCUACUUGGAUCAACAAGGGUGGUUAAAAUGAGUAAGAAAAUCCAAGUAUUUUAGGGUAUCCAUGAGUUCAAAUUUGAUGCCAAGACAUGAUAAUUCUAAAUCGGAUUCAAGUUCAAAUUGAUAGGGAAUGAUAUCAGAUCCUAACAGUGUGGUCGAGUAGAGCAAUCUAGGCAUGGUGCAGUUUUUACUUCAAUUUCAAUGACAACGCAUCAAAAAACUAACAACGAGGGCACUGAGCUUAUCUGGUGAACCAAAAUGCUUACAAGGCUAUCUCAUCAUUAUCCCCUAUGCAUAUGCAACAAUCCUAAAGGAAACACUCUAGACUCGAUCCUAAAUGCAAUGCAACUGCAUGAACACUCUAUUUUUGUGAAAUCAUUUUCUGAAAUUUUUC
rnacentral:sRNA from 1 species